UCGAACGAGAAAGUGGAGCAAUCCAUGAGUACAGUGGCGUACGGGUGAGUAACACGUGGGUAAUCUACCUCUUAGUGGGGAAUAACUCUGGGAAACCGGAGCUAAUACCGCAUAAGCUCGAGAGAGGAAAGCAGCAAUGCGCUGAGAGAGGAGCCCGCGGCCGAUUAGCUAGUUGGCAGGGUAAGAGCCUACCAAGGCAAAGAUCGGUAGCCGGCCUGAGAGGGCACACGGCCACACUGGCACUGAAACACGGGCCAGACUCCUACGGGAGGCAGCAGUGGGGAAUCUUGCACAAUGGGGGAAACCCUGAUGCAGCGACGCCGCGUGAGCGAUGAAGCCCUUCGGGGUGUAAAGCUCUUUCGGCAGGGAAGAUGGUGACGGUACCUGCAGAAGCAGCUGCGGCUAACUACGUGCCAGCAGCCGCGGUAAUACGUAGGCAGCGAGCGUUGUUCGGAGUUACUGGGCGUAAAGGGUGUGUAGGCGGUUGUUUAAGUUUGGUGUGAAAUCUCCCGGCUCAACUGGGAGGGUGCGCCGAAUACUGAGCGACUAGAGUGCGGGAGAGGAAAGUGGAAUUCCUGGUGUAGCGGUGAAAUGCGUAGAUAUCAGGAGGAACACCGGUGGUGUAGACGGCUUUCUGGACCGUAACUGACGCUGAGACACGAAAGCGUGGGUAGCAAACAGGAUUAGAUACCCUGGUAGUCCACGCCCUAAACGAUGCAUAUUUGGUGUGGGCAGUUCAUUCUGUCCGUGCCGGAGCUAACGCGUUA
rnacentral:rRNA from 1 species